rnacentral:rRNA from 1 species
GGAAUUUUCCGCAAUGGGCGAAAGCCUGACGGAGCAACGCCGCGUGCGGGAGGAAGGUUUUAGGACUGUAAACCGCUUUUCUCAGGGAAGAAGCUCUGACGGUACCUGAGGAAUAAGCAUCGGCUAAUUCCGUGCCAGCAGCCGCGGUAAUACGGGAGAUGCAAGCGUUAUCCGGAAUUAUUGGGCGUAAAGCGUUCGUAGGCGGUUCAACAAGUCCGCUGUCAAAUCCCGCAGCUUAACUGCGGACAGGCAGUUGAAACUGUUAAGCUAGAGUGUGGUAGGGGUAAGGGGAAUUCCCAGUGUAGCGGUGAAAUGCGUAGAUAUUGGGAAGAACACCAGCGGCGAAAGCGCCUUACUGGGCCACAACUGACGCUGAGGGACGAAAGCUAGGGGAGCGAAAGGGAUUAGAUACCCCUGUAGUCCUAGCCGUAAACGAUGGACACUAGGUGUUGUCUGUAUCGACCCGGACAGUGCCGUAGCCAACGCGUUAAGUGUCCCGCCUGGGGAGUACGCACGCAAGUGUGAAACUCAAAGGAAUUGACGG